UACGAAGGGGGCUAGCGUUGCUCGGAAUCACUGGGCGUAAAGCGCGUGUAGGCGGCUCGGUAAGUCUGCUGUGAAAGUCCAGGGCUCAACCCUGGGAUGCCGGUGGAUACUGUCGAGCUCGAGUCCGGAAGAGGCGAGUGGAAUUCCUGGUGUAGCGGUGAAAUGCGCAGAUAUCAGGAGGAACACCUAUGGCGAAGGCAGCUCGCUGGGACGUGACUGACGCUGAGACGCGAAAGCUAGGGGAGCGAACAGG
rnacentral:rRNA from 1 species